UUGACAUCCAUGUACAAUAAAAACUAUUUUCAAAUUGAAAGUAUGCUGCCAUCCAGGGGUAGGGAAUCUGUGAACCUUGCAGAUGUUGUUGCAUUACAACUUCUAUCCUUCCUAACUAUUGUUAGUGCUGACUAGGAUUGAUUGGAACUGAAAUCCAACAAAGUCUGGUGCCCUAAAGUUUUCCUUCCCUCUUUAAAUCAGUGUAGCUCAUUUCAAAUAGUAUUUGUGGGUACACUUGGGAAGACUCUUCACAAAGUGUGCUCCAAACAUGGCAACAUUCAAUCAAGAGGGCACUUCUGAAUGGAAAUUAAAUAUAAUGUUCAAUUUCCAGCAUGUGUCCAAGAUAAAAAGCUCACAUUCACAUUUCACAUACAUGCAUAUAUGGAAAAUUAUUUAUUAAACUGAUAUUCUGCACUUAGUGCCAUAGAACCUUAAAAUGUUUUCCUUUGCAAGAAUUUUCUAAUGUGUGAAGCAGUCAGAAGAUCAUGCACAGAACAGCAUGCAUAAAUACAUGCUAAAUUGUCAGAAUCACUGAGAUGCUAUAAAGAAUGACACAUGGAGAACCCAUGGAGGGAAGGCUGUGGUCCCAUCCCCAGACACCUGGGAGCAUAACAGACAGAAGAAGAAAACAUACAACAAGACAAUUUAAGUGCUUCGGAGGAAAUGAAGCAAAACAGUUCAUUUCAGAGAGAUUUGGUAGGUAAGAUAUCCUAAAAGUGAAUGUACAAUUCUGUGCACAAUAAGUACAACAUGUACCCAUCUUCCUCAGCAAAUGUACAAAUAUAUACACACUGCAAAGACACCUGAAAAUGUCUUGGACUUUGACACCAAGCACAUAAUGCCAAUUUGUUACUAAUUUACCAGUUGACUUAGGCACAGCAUUUUGUAAUGUUUAAUCAAGUGGUGAUUCUAUCCUUAAGUGUAAAAAUUAUCCAUCAGCCCUUUGACAACAUAUGGAAUUUUAGUGGAAGGGGGAGCAACAAAACAAUACCAAGUUUUCGACCUCAUGCUAAGCAGCAAAAAAUGAUGAUGGGGAGGCAGAAAUAUUAGUAACCUGGAAUACCUCCCUAGCCUUUACUAUAAUUUAAGCAUGAUCAGGUCCCUACUUGGUCAAUGGAUUGCAGUUCUAUUGGCCAGAUUUAUUAAUUAUCAUUUAAGGAACAAUUUACAAAGGAUCAGAAGCCUAUAGACAUAUGCCAUGAGCCCUCUGCUUCAGUAUGUCCACAAGCAUGCUGUAUGUGGAUACUGUAAUUUCCUUUGUCCCCAAGCUGCUUAACACGCACUCUGCCACCGUGGUGGUGUGUCAAAGGAGUUUCUCUCCCUUCUUCUGUCUAGCUGCAUUCGUGGUCCCUGUGGAGCACUGGCUUCCUUUCUUUCAAGCCAUCUCUAAAGUUCUUGAUGGUCAGACCCACAUGAUUGGCACUGAACUGCUGGGAUUCCGAAUCAACGCUACAUGGACUUGCUCACAGUCAAGCACCAUGAUGAGAAAUUCAUAUCAAACUUCUACGUGUGUGUGAAAUAAGAACAACUAUGCCAAUGAGCUGGCAGAUGCAUGCUCCUUACCAUUUGACUUUGCUGGAAUACUAGAAAUGCAGGAUCAGGCUUUAAUCUUUCCUGUACCCACUGGCAAUUUCUUGAAUGCCUCUCUGCCCUAUCCUUCCACUUUCCCUCCAGGUGGAAAUAUUUCUGGUCUCAGAGUUUGGGUAGGAAAAAACCAGUUGAAAACAGCUCAGAGAAGGGAAGGUAUUUUCUGUUAAGAAUUGGCAGGUAUAGGAAGAAUUUAGAUGUUUCCUAUAUGUUCCUGCCAGUAAGCUGACAUCAACAUCUGAGACUCUGCUCUGAAUGCCCCUGUGGGCUGAGAUUAGGUUUCCCAUGGCCCCCAGACUGUGGAAUACCUUUCUUAGAGAUGUCCACCUGGCACCUGCUUUGUUGACUGUUGAGAACCAUGCAAAGAUAUUUUUAUUUACCUGUGUCUUUAAAAAGAAUUUUUACUCCUGUUUAUUUUGUUUUUAAUACAGUCAGUGCUGCCUUUGACAUAAUAUUUUAUCUAUUUAACAGCUCUUUUAAUAUCAUUUUAAAACUAUUGUUGCAGCUUUGAGAAACAUCUACCACAUUCCUUUAAUGUGUUGUAUUGUUGACUUUUUGUCUUGUUUUUAUUAUGCAUCUAUCUCUGAGAGCUUCAGCCAUAGGGCAACUCAUAUAUUGAAUGAACAAAUCAAUAAAUUAAUGAAUAGGC